AGAGUUUGAUCAUGGCUCAGAUUGAACGCUGGCGGCAGGCCUAACACAUGCAAGUCGAGCGGUAGCACAGAGAGCUUGCUCUCGGGUGACGAGCGGCGGACGGGUGAGUAAUGUCUGGGAAACUGCCUGAUGGAGGGGGAUAACUACUGGAAACGGUAGCUAAUACCGCAUAAUGUCGCAAGACCAAAGUGGGGGACCUUCGGGCCUCAUGCCAUCAGAUGUGCCCAGAUGGGAUUAGCUAGUAGGUGGGGUAACGGCUCACCUAGGCGACGAUCCCUAGCUGGUCUGAGAGGAUGACCAGCCACACUGGAACUGAGACACGGUCCAGACUCCUACGGGAGGCAGCAGUGGGGAAUAUUGCACAAUGGGCGCAAGCCUGAUGCAGCCAUGCCGCGUGUGUGAAGAAGGCCUUCGGGUUGUAAAGCACUUUCAGCGGGGAGGAAGGCGGUGAGGUUAAUAACCUCACCGAUUGACGUUACCCGCAGAAGAAGCACCGGCUAACUCCGUGCCAGCAGCCGCGGUAAUACGGAGGGUGCAAGCGUUAAUCGGAAUUACUGGGCGUAAAGCGCACGCAGGCGGUCUGUCAAGUCGGAUGUGAAAUCCCCGGGCUCAACCUGGGAACUGCAUUCGAAACUGGCAGGCUAGAGUCUUGUAGAGGGGGGUAGAAUUCCAGGUGUAGCGGUGAAAUGCGUAGAGAUCUGGAGGAAUACCGGUGGCGAAGGCGGCCCCCUGGACAAAGACUGACGCUCAGGUGCGAAAGCGUGGGGAGCAAACAGGAUUAGAUACCCUGGUAGUCCACGCCGUAAACGAUGUCGAUUUGGAGGUUGUGCCCUUGAGGCGUGGCUUCCGGAGCUAACGCGUUAAAUCGACCGCCUGGGGAGUACGGCCGCAAGGUUAAAACUCAAAUGAAUUGACGGGGGCCCGCACAAGCGGUGGAGCAUGUGGUUUAAUUCGAUGCAACGCGAAGAACCUUACCUGGUCUUGACAUCCACAGAACUUUCCAGAGAUGGAUUGGUGCCUUCGGGAACUGUGAGACAGGUGCUGCAUGGCUGUCGUCAGCUCGUGUUGUGAAAUGUUGGGUUAAGUCCCGCAACGAGCGCAACCCUUAUCCUUUGUUGCCAGCGGUUAGGCCGGGAACUCAAAGGAGACUGCCAGUGAUAAACUGGAGGAAGGUGGGGAUGACGUCAAGUCAUCAUGGCCCUUACGACCAGGGCUACACACGUGCUACAAUGGCAUAUACAAAGAGAAGCGACCUCGCGAGAGCAAGCGGACCUCAUAAAGUAUGUCGUAGUCCGGAUUGGAGUCUGCAACUCGACUCCAUGAAGUCGGAAUCGCUAGUAAUCGUAGAUCAGAAUGCUACGGUGAAUACGUUCCCGGGCCUUGUACACACCGCCCGUCACACCAUGGGAGUGGGUUGCAAAAGAAGUAGGUAGCUUAACCUUCGGGAGGGCGCUUACCACUUUGUGAUUCAUGACUGGGGUGAAGUCGUAACAAGGUAACCGUAGGGGAACCUGCGGUUG
rnacentral:rRNA from 1 species